ensembl:lncRNA
AAAUGAUCCUAAGAUCCGUAUCCGAAGACCCAGUCAAAAUGAACGAAUCAGUUCUGGUUUCUCUAGCUACCAGUGCUGAGCCUCUGCAGGUCACGUGAAAAAUCUGUAUCCGGCAGAUGAACGAAUCGUUCACCUCCCGACCGUGUCUUCGGGUCAAUAAUUCGUUCAUCGUUUUCAUUUUCACGGCGUUUACGUGCGUUUACCCUCCACUACAGCCCUGCUUGGAACGAUUCGUUCAACGACACAUCACUACUUUCUGCAGUAGCGGACACAUUUGUCCCGUAUUUUCCUCCAGAACUUUGGGCACCUCUCGACCGGCAAACCGGCGCUUACGGACAUCUCCCUCCGUGAAUCCAACCCGCCAAUGACGGCUUGUAUAAGCGGUCAUAUUUACGCAUUUAUUCCGACAAAAGUUCUUAAAUCUGAUCCGUUCUCUCGUAAACAUUCUUCGUUUUAAUAAUGGCGGUAUCGUGCUAUGAAAGCGGAAAUGUGAGACUCCGUAAAGGACGUAGUUAGCGGACCAAUCGCAGCCUGGUGCGCUGCGGGAGGCUUGCGUUGCUUGCGUCGCUUUUGACGCAAGCCUAGAAAAAUGGCUCGACGCAGGGAGGUGUGAAAAGGCACGCAAGGGGGGCUUGCGUCUGCGUCGCUCUGAAAACGCAGAAACAUAAAAUAGGCUUUGGACAUGUAAAUUACGUUAGAUUAUCACUAUAUAAUCAUUUUUACUUGUAUGGUGACUAAUCCUUAAAUUAAAAAAACAUAUUAAUUAAUACAUGAAUUUUGGAUUUAGUAUUAUACCAUAUAAAAUAAAAAAGACAACUAGAUGUGUUACAGGGUUCAAUGAUUGUCUCAUUGAGAACAAACCCUCUGAUUCGUUGGCUGAUUUUAGUCACUAGAGACAGUUGAGAUCAAGCUACCAUUAACAUUGGAGUGAAUAAAUUAGAAUAUUUAGAAUUUUUCAUUUUGGGGGAAGUUAACACACAUUUUUCUGAUCUGCUUUUUGUCAUAUUUAUUUAUUUAUCUAUCUAAACUGUAGGAGCGUUGACGGGCUGCAGCGUGGAGGUUCAUUGAGUCUCUGAUUGACAGAGUGGGAGAGAAGAUGUCGUCUGUCGUCCAGCAGCAGAGAACAAACAGACAUUCAUGACUCUGCAGUUGCACUUGACUGCGUCAUUAGAGACGCUCACACGUCCCGUUGAACUCGUUGAGCUUGAAUUUGUGUUAUUUGUGGAGAAUUGAAUUUGUUUUAUUUGUGAAGAAUUAAAUUUGUUUUAUUUGUGGAGAAUUGAAUUUGUUUUAAUGGUGGAGAAUUGAAUUUGUUUUAUUUGUGGAGAAUUGAAUUUGUUUGUGCUUUGAGUUGCCUGACUUCAUUCUUUAGAAACAUUCAUGUUUUAAUCAAAAUGUUCCAUAGAGGAAGAAGUAGAGGAACACAUGUUCAUCUACUUUAAAUAUUCUCUUCUUUUGCCGUUAUUCUAAGACAAGAUGUUUUAUUACAGGAAGAAGAGAGUCAACAAUUCAAAUCAGGCUCAAAGUGUCGACUCACACCUGCGUGUGUCAUUCAAUUUAUUCAAGUCAACAAAUAACAAAGAACAUGAGAUUUUCUUUGGUUAUCAAAAUGUAUUUAUUAUUGUUUAGAUAAUAAUCACAUGAGAUUACUUACAUGAUACAAUAACACACAUACAAACAAUAACAAUAAUACAACACAAUGAUUGGGGGGAAAUCUGAAGGAGUUCCUGAGAAGAAAGAAAAGAAGUAGUUAUUGACAUGUUAAUGUCGUUAGUGUGUCUGUGUGUAGAACAAAAUGUUAGUUUGUCUAUGUGUACAUCUAAAUGUUAAAUGAUCUAUGUGUAUCUCAAUAUUAAUGUGUCUAUGUGUACAUCUCAAUAUUAAUGAUCUAUGUGUACAUCUAAAUAUUAAUGAUCUAUGUGUACAUCUCAAUAUUAAUGAUCUAUGUGUACAUCUCAAUAUUAAUGGGUCUAUGUGUACAUCUCAAUAUUAAUGAUCUAUGUGUACAUCUCAAUAUUAAUGAUCUAUGUGUACAUCUCAAUAUUAAUGUGUCUAUGUGUACAUCUCAAUAUUAAUGAUCUCUGUGUACAUCUCAAUAUUAAUGUGUCUAUGUGUACAUCUAAGUAUUAAUGAUCUAUGUGUACAUCUCAAUAUUAAUGAUCUAUGUGUACAUCUCAAUAUUAAUGAUCUAUGUGUACAUCUCAUUAUUAAUGAUCUAUGUGUACAUCUCAAUAUUAAUGUUUCUAUGUGUACAUCUCAAUAUUAAUGUGUCUAUGCGUACAUCUCAAUAUUAAUGAUCUAUGCCUACAUCUCAAUAUUAAUGAUCUAUCGGUACAUCUCAAUAUUAAUGUGUCUAUGCGUACAUCUCAAUAUUAAUGAUCUAUGUGUACAUCUCAAUAUUAUUGUGUCUAUGCGUACAUCUCAAUAUUAAUGAUCUAUAUGUACAUCUCAAUAUUAAUGAUCUAUGUGUACAUCUCAAUAUUAAUGUGUCUAUGUGUACAUCUCAAUAUUAAUGAUCUAUGUGUACAUCUCAAUAUUAAUGUGUCUAUGUGUACAUUUAAAUAUUAAUGAUCUUUGUGUAUCUAAAUGUUAAUGUGUGUCUAAAUAUUUAUGAUCUGAGGCCGGCUCCCAGCCGCCGUCCUCCUCUUCUUCAUCAAAUUCACCUUCCAUUUAACAACAGUCAAC